GUCACUUAACACGCACACAUACAUCCCAUCUUUCUCCCUCUUGGCCGACAUAGUCACUUCACCAUCUUCCCUCUCAUCUUCCUUUCUUUACCGUGCUUUCCCCAUCACUCCAUCAGACACACCAUCGACCAACCAUCGUCCUAGGUCCUAAAAUAGCAAAGAUUCCCUUCUUCAUCACCUUACACGGCACAGUUACUGUGCAUCCAUCUCUGAUGACGUAUCGUCAUCUCCGAUGAAGGUUUUAACUCGAAAAUCAACUCGGGAAGCAUUUUCCAGAAAUCUGGAAAUUCAAAACCGUGACUGUUUGGCCGUAUUCUAGACGCUUUUCCUGCCAAAGCACAGCUAGUUAGCCAUCGAGAAAGGCUGCCCAGAAAUUCCGGCGAGUCACUAGUUUUCCCGCGGACAGCUGUCUUUCAGGCCAUUUUCCGGCCACCUCCGGCCACCAUUUGGACUCCAAGCAGGUAUAAUCUUGUUUUACACUUCUUUAGCUUCGUGUCGGUGUAUUAAGUCGAAUUUGGUUGAGAAACAAGUCAGAUAUAGAGUUCUAAAAUUGCCCUGAAAAUAUGCAAAAUCCGACCGUUGGAUCAUCAUCAAACUUUAAUAAUAUUUGGGGACCAUAUGAACUUACGGAUUGAGAAUACGACGGAUUUUCUCAAAUUGGAUUUGUAAAUUCAUAAAAUAAAACGUUAACUGACACUUGAAUUUGUAAUUGACGGAGAUCUAACUGUUGGAUCGUAAUAAAACUUUAGGAUGUUGUUCUAGAAGCAUAAUGUGGAUCUUUGGAAGUUACGGAUAGGAAAUCCGAGGAGCAGAUCUUCCGAAUCAAGUUAUGUAGAGUUGUGGACUCUACCGUUGAUCUCUGACCGACGGUUGACUUUUGGGAUCUAUGAGUUUCAAAUCAUUCUAGAAUGUCCCUGGGGGAUGUGUUUUAUGUAAAUUACGUGUUCUAUCAGUAAGAAUUUUGAGACAUCAUUUGAGACAUCUCGAUAUUCGUGCUAAGGAGUGUAGCGCGGACAUCAGGUGAGUGGGCUUUGGGUUUUUAAUAUAUGUAUAUAUGCAUUACGUUUUUCCCAGAAAAAUUGAUUUAAAUGAUUUUGCGUUUUAGAUGCCAUGUCAAAUGGUUUAUAUUUUAGAAUAUGCAUUAGUAGUUAUGUAUGUUAGUAUUGGACGCUACGGACGCUCAGGUAAGUUUCAGGUGAGUAUAUGUGUUAUUGAUUGUGAGUUACGUUAUGAUGGUUAUACAUAAAUGCAUUUAAAGCUCAUUAACCUGCACCUCGGUGUUAGUGCUCCCGCCUGUGGCCAGGGCACAGUCCUUCACGUGAUGUUCACCUCCCGCACCGCACGCUCACAUUGGAUCCAAGUUUGGUGCACAACUCUGUCGUACAGACCACAAUAGGUGGUUCCGACUUGUAGCUGACCUGCGAUUUAUCGCACAACCUUCACGUGAUCGUAGCGUUUGAGCAUACUUAUUACACCUAGCCAUGUCGUACAGACCACAUUAUGUGGUUCCAACUCGUGUGUAGGCAUACUUGAUGAACUAUAGGUUCAGUUGUACAUGCUACAAUAGGUGGAUCCGGAUGACAUAUCAUUUUUCAUUGAUUUACUUCACCUGGUUUACUUAUUCAUUAUGCAGAGAUAUUUGACAUGGCAUACAUGUGGAUUUUGGUAUUUCGAGUAUGGUUUCAACAUAUGUUUUAGCUGCUGGAAAUUCGUAUCGAUGAGGAUUCUUGGCGAAUGUCAGUAUAAGUGACUACCUCUGAGGGUAUGAUCUUUACCCACACUACUGUACUUUACUACAUGUGAAGUGGGUGCAUACUCGCUCACCAGCGCUGUAACACCGCCCCGAAAAUAUUUAUUUUCGGCAAUAAUUAUUGGUAAUAGGCCCAAAAAUUCAAACUCUCGUCUAUUUAGCUGCCAAUCUUCACGACA